UACAGAGGUCUCAAGCGUUUGUUCGGAUUCAUUGGGCGUAAAGGGCGCGUAGGCGGCCUUCUAAGUCGAACGUGAAAUCCCCGGGCUCAACCCGGGAACUGCGUCCGAUACUGGAAGGCUUGAAUCCGGGAGAGGGAUGUGGAAUUCCAGGUGUAGCGGUGAAAAUGCGUAGAUAUCUGGAGGAACACCGGUGGCGAAGGCGACAUCCUGGACCGGUAUUGACGCUGAGGCGCGAAAGCCAGGGGAGCAAAGCGGG
rnacentral:rRNA from 1 species